rnacentral:rRNA from 1 species
UGGUAGUNCACGCCGUAAACGAUGAGUGCUAGGUGUUAGGCCCUUUCCGGGGCUUAGUGCCGGAGCUAACGCAAUAAGCACUCCGCCUGGGGAGUACGACCGCAAGGUUGAAACUCAAAGGAAUUGACGGGGGCCCGCACAAGCGGUGGAGCGUGUGGUUUAAUUCGAAGCAACGCGAAGAACCUUACCAGGUCUUGACAUCCCGAUGCUAUUCUUAGAGAUAGGAAGUUACUUCGGUACAUCGGAGACAGGUGGUGCAUGGUUGUCGUCAGCUCGUGUCGUGAGAUGUUGGGUUAAGUCCCGCAACGAGCGCAACCCUUAUUGUUAGUUGCCAUCAUUAAGUUGGGCACUCUAGCGAGACUGCCGGUAAUAAACCGGAGGAAGGUGGGGAUGACGUCAAAUCAUCAUGCCCCUUAUGACCUGGGCUACACACGUGCUACAAUGGUCGGUACAACGAGUUGCGAGCCGGUGACGGCAAGCUAAUCUCUGAAAGCCGAUCUCAGUUCGGAUUGGAGGCUGCAAUUCGCCUCCAUGAAGUCGGAAUCGCUAGUAAUCGCGGAUCAGCACGCCGCGGUGAAUACGUUCCCGGGCCUUGUACACACCGCCCGUCACACCACGGGAGUUUGUAACACCCGAAGUCGGUGAGGUAACCUUUUAG